rnacentral:rRNA from 1 species
GGGACACGUGGUAUCCUGUCUGAAUAUGGGGGGACCAUCCUCCAAGGCUAAAUACUCCUGACUGACCGAUAGUGAACCAGUACCGUGAGGGAAAGGCGAAAAGAACCCCGGCGAGGGGAGUGAAAAAGAACCUGAAACCGUGUACGUACAAGCAGUGGGAGCACGCUUAGGCGUGUGACUGCGUACCUUUUGUAUAAUGGGUCAGCGACUUAUAUUCUGUAGCAAGGUUAACCGAAUAGGGGAGCCGAAGGGAAACCGAGUCUUAACUGGGCGUUAAGUUGCAGGGUAUAGACCCGAAACCCGGUGAUCUAGCCAUGGGCAGGUUGAAGGUUGGGUAACACUAACUGGAGGACCGAACCGACUAAUGUUGAAAAAUUAGCGGAUGACUUGUGGCUGGGGGUGAAAGGCCAAUCAAACCGGGAGAUAGCUGGUUCUCCCCGAAAGCUAUUUAGGUAGCGCCUCGUGAAUUCAUCUCCGGGGGUAGAGCACUGUUUCGGCAAGGGGGUCAUCCCGACUUACCAACCCGAUGCAAACUGCGAAUACCGGAGAAUGUUAUCACGGGAGACACACGGCGGGUGCUAACGUCCGUCGUGAAGAGGGAAACAACCCAGACCGCCAGCUAAGGUCCCAAAGUCAUGGUUAAGUGGGAAACGAUGUGGGAAGGCCCAGACAGCCAGGAUGUUGGCUUAGAAGCAGCCAUCAUUUAAAGAAAGCGUAAUAGCUCACUGGUCGAGUCGGCCUGCGCGGAAGAUGUAACGGGGCUAAACCAUGCACCGAAGCUGCGGCAGCGACACUAUGUGUUGUUGGGUAGGGGAGCGUUCUGUAAGCCUGUGAAGGUGUGCUGUGAGGCAUGCUGGAGGUAUCAGAAGUGCGAAUGCUGACAUAAGUAACGAUAAAGCGGGUGAAAAGCCCGCUCGCCGGAAGACCAAGGGUUCCUGUCCAACGUUAAUCGGGGCAGGGUGAGUCGACCCCUAAGGCGAGGCCGAAAGGCGUAGUCGAUGGGAAACAGGUUAAUAUUCCUGUACUUGGUGUUACUGCGAAGGGGGGACGGAGAAGGCUAUGUUGGCCGGGCGACGGUUGUCCCGGUUUAAGCGUGUAGGCUGGUUUUCCAGGCAAAUCCGGAAAAUCAAGGCUGAGGCGUGAUGACGAGGCACUACGGUGCUGAAGCAACAAAUGCCCUGCUUCCAGGAAAAGCCUCUAAGCAUCAGGUAACAUCAAAUCGUACCCCAAACCGACACAGGUGGUCAGGUAGAGAAUACCAAGGCGCUUGAGAGAACUCGGGUGAAGGAACUAGGCAAAAUGGUGCCGUAACUUCGGGAGAAGGCACGCUGAUAUGUAGGUGAAGUCCCUCGCGGAUGGAGCUGAAAUCAGUCGAAGAUACCAGCUGGCUGCAACUGUUUAUUAAAAACACAGCACUGUGCAAACACGAAAGUGGACGUAUACGGUGUGACGCCUGCCCGGUGCCGGAAGGUUAAUUGAUGGGGUUAGCCGCAAGGCGAAGCUCUUGAUCGAAGCCCCGGUAAACGGCGGCCGUAACUAUAACGGUCCUAAGGUAGCGAAAUUCCUUGUCGGGUAAGUUCCGACCUGCACGAAUGGCGUAAUGAUGGCCAGGCUGUCUCCACCCGAGACUCAGUGAAAUUGAACUCGCUGUGAAGAUGCAGUGUACCCGCGGCAAGACGGAAAGACCCCGUGAACCUUUACUAUAGCUUGACACUGAACAUUGAGCCUUGAUGUGUAGGAUAGGUGGGAGGCUUAGAAGUGUGGACGCCAGUCUGCAUGGAGCCGACCUUGAAAUACCACCCUUUAAUGUUUGAUGUUCUAACGUUGACCCGUAAUCCGGGUUGCGGACAGUGUCUGGUGGGUAGUUUGACUGGGGCGGUCUCCUCCUAAAGAGUAACGGAGGAGCACGAAGGUUGGCUAAUCCUGGUCGGACAUCAGGAGGUUAGUGCAAUGGCAUAAGCCAGCUUGACUGCGAGCGUGACGGCGCGAGCAGGUGCGAAAGCAGGUCAUAGUGAUCCGGUGGUUCUGAAUGGAAGGGCCAUCGCUCAACGGAUAAAAGGUACUCCGGGGAUAACAGGCUGAUACCGCCCAAGAGUUCAUAUCGACGGCGGUGUUUGGCACCUCGAUGUCGGCUCAUCACAUCCUGGGGCUGAAGUAGGUCCCAAGGGUAUGGCUGUUCGCCAUUUAAAGUGGUACGCGAGCUGGGUUUAGAACGUCGUGAGACAGUUCGGUCCCUAUCUGCCGUGGGCGCUGGAGAACUGAGGGGGGCUGCUCCUAGUACGAGAGGACCGGAGUGGACGCAUCACUGGUGUUCGGGUUGUCAUGCCAAUGGCACUGCCCGGUAGCUAAAUGCGGAAGAGAUAAGUGCUGAAAGCAUCUAAGCACGAAACUUGCCCCGAGAUGAGUUCUCCCUGACUCCUUGAGAGUCCUGAAGGAACGUUGAAGACGACGACGUUGAUAGGCCGGGUGUGUAAGCGCAGCGAUGCGUUGAGCUAACCGGUACUAAUGAACCGUGAGG